GAAAUAUUUGACUUCGGAUAUUUCGAAAUAUUCAAGCAGUAUUUAUACGAACACCAGUUGGGGCUUUGUAUUCAAUACUGAAUUACAGAGCACAAUGGAUUUGAAACUUACCACAUGUAUACUUUGUGUUGUCUCCAUCAUCGGACACACAGAACAUCAACUGGUAAAGGAUUUACACGCCGUGUUUGGCAACCUCGCACUCUCAAAAAGCAAUGUUCUUAGUAUGGUGCAGUCGACAGCUGCAAGGUCAAGAAGAGCUGCUCAGUCCUGUUCAUUUUCAUCUGUGCUUGUCCGUUUGAAAAAAUGCCCAGGGCAGUCAGAACUCAUUAAAAAUACCAACAACCUGAUGUCUGGCUCCCCGAGCAUAACAGAAAUUUAGGAGUGGAAAUCGAUUUUUUCAAACAUCUGUAAAGAGUCGGAAUGCACCAUUAAGUGUGUAGUUGAUGCCAUUGGAGAAUGCUACCAGCAAGAUCUUUUAUUUGAAUCCGACCCAACAGCAAAGACGGUCGGGAUGCGUGCGUUAUGUGACCCUAAGUACGAUUAUAUUGACAGUGUUCUGAGUUGUUAUGCCUACUCUAACAUUGACACCUGUUUCUCCUUGUUGAGAACAGCUAUAAACGAAGCAGUUCAGAAAUACAGCCGCAAUCCUAGUUCAUAUACGCUACGUGUUGAUGGUUGUAGGGCCUACAAUAGUUACAAGUCUUGCAUCAACGUUACAACAAGAAACAACUGCACAUCUGAGAAAGCCUACUUUUUUAAGAACUUUAUCAAAGCAGGUGUUAGUUACGGCAAAUGUGGUGCUCAAACAAACCCCUUCUUCAGUGACUACGCUGGUAAGAUUCAGUGUCCAUCGGAUGCCGCUAAUGAUAAUGUUACACAAACUCCAUCAGGAGGCGGACAAAGCCGGGGAACAACACAUACCAAUGGAUCGGGUCUCGUAAAACAGACUUUGGCUACACUUCUAAUUACUGUGGCCUUUGUUUGCAUAAGUUUAUAAACUUCCGGAUGUCAUGAUACCUAAUCCACGUGUCUAGUUUGUCUGUUAAAUAUAAAAUGCCUCGACCCUGCUGGGUUUUUUUCGAUUUUUUUUUUAUUUUUGACUGCAAUCUGAACAGCUUCUUUUUCGUUCUAAGGUUUAAAAUUGCUAAAUUUAAAUAAAGCAACCGUAUUGCUUUCACAUAACUUGUUUUGCCCCAUUUUUUAAUUUGUAAGAAAAUAUUUCUAUCUUCUGUAAUGCAAUAACAGACUAGAAUGCACUGUCCGCUGAAAUCUCAAGCAUGUUUUUAUUUUGAAACAAAUAUGGUACAAACCGUCUGGUUGAUAUAGUUAAUAGUGGAUACGUACUAUGUCAUAAUGAUAUUUACUCACUUUCAUAGCAAUGUCAAAAGUGUCUUCAGUUUGAGCCUUUAACUUCUUUUAUUUUAUUUUAAACCUCGUUUCCGCAAAACAUCCUACGCUUGUGUUGGGAUGACAAUAUCUUACACGAGCGGCCAUGAAUAAAAAAUAAUACUUAUAAUUCCAAGCCAACGACUAUACCGUUGAUAUGACGGCGGAUGCUUUUUAUAAGUUCUAAAAGUCAAAUGCAAAUUAUAAUGUAAACUGAUGAUUGGUUCUUUCUGUCACUUUUAGCACUCAAUAUGUAAGCGUGUAAAAAUAGCGUUUAUAUAAUAGCACUUAUUCAACUUUUAUACAUUAAGUAAGUGAUCGACCCGUUUUCCACGUUUUCGACCGAUGACAAAAUAUUCAAUCACUUUGGAAAGCGACAAUAUACCAACAGCAUUUUCGUGUUUUUAAUAAUGAAUUGGAUUGAGAUGUUCCUCUUUCACCAUCAUACGAUGUUUUUAUUGCACAGUUGAUAAGAUUUCAUAGAAUAUGCACAUAUGUCAAAGAAUUCAGCUUUCGCAGUAAACUUAUGACGGAAACACUUCUUAAACAGAGGUUCAGAUGUUAAUUGUCAUUAUAUUAUUAUAUCUAAGUGCAAUAGUAGUCUUAAAUUGCUGAUUCCGAGCAGUAUUUGUCAUCCAGAUUUUUAUAGUGAUUUAAUAAAAAAAGAUUCGUAACAUUAAAAGGUUUCCAGCAGCUGGUUCGGAAGAUAGAGUCAAUAAUUAUGAAGUGUGUUGUUUGUGGAGUUUUGUUUUGUUGUUCCCUAUUUUCUGCUUUGCGAUUGUUUGUUUUUGUGUUCUAUGUCAUUGGCGUUGACCCUGUGCCAUAAAACCGGGAUUAUGUUUAAACUUUCGACUACUGGACUUGUUUCUGUAGUGUUUUCAUAUAACUAUUGAUUAC